UACGUAGGGGGCGAGCGUUGUCCGGAUUUAUUGGGCGUAAAGAGCGUGUAGGCGGUUUGUCGCGUCUGCUGUGAAAAUCCGGGGCUCAACCCCGGACUUGCAGUGGGUACGGGCAGACUAGAGUGUGGUAGGGGAGACUGGAAUUCCUGGUGUAGCGGUGAAAUGCGUAGAUAUCAGGAGGAACACCGGUGGCGAAAGCGCUCAUCUGGCCCAAUACUGACGCUGAGGCGCGAAAGCUAGGGGAGCAAACGGG
rnacentral:rRNA from 1 species